ensembl:snRNA U1 U1 spliceosomal RNA
AGAGUUACAGAGUUUCGGUGUCAUUGUGGAAGAUGAUCUCACUGCUAGGUUUCCUCUACAUAUACACCCAGGGUGAAGCUCAGCUAUUGCACUCCGGCUGUGCUGACCCCUGCAAAUUCCCCAAAUGUGGAAAUCUUGACUGCAUAAUUUCCAGUUGUGGGGGGCUGUGUUUGCGCUCUGCCCUG